GAUGAACGCUGACAGAAUGCUUAACACAUGCAAGUCAACUUGAAUUUGGGUUUUUAACUUAGGUUUGGGUGGCGGACGGGUGAGUAACGCGUAAAGAACUUGCCUCACAGCUAGGGACAACAUUUGGAAACGAAUGCUAAUACCUAAUAUUAUGAUAAUAGGGCAUCCUAUAAUUAUGAAAGCUAUAAGCGCUGUGAGAGAGCUUUGCGUCCCAUUAGCUAGUUGGAGAGGUAACGGCUCACCAAGGCGAUGAUGGGUAGCCGGCCUGAGAGGGUGAUCGGCCACAAGGGGACUGAGACACGGCCCUUACUCCGACGGGAGGCAGCAGUGGGGAAUAUUGGACAAUGGACCGAGAGUCUGAUCCAGCAAUUCUGUGUGCACGAUGAAGUUUUUCGGAAUGUAAAGUGCUUUCAGUUGGGAAGAAACAAAUGACGGUACCAACAGAAGAAGUGACGGCUAAAUACGUG
rnacentral:rRNA from 1 species